AACGAACGCUGGCGGCGUGCCUAACACAUGCAAGUCGAGCGAGAAAGUCCCCGCAAGGGGAUGAGUAAAGCGGCGAACGGGUGAGUAACACGUGGGCAACCUACCCUUCAGUCAGGAAUAACCCCACGAAAGCGGGGCUAAUACCAGAUGACGUCCCUCGGGGGCAUCUUUGGGGGACCAAAGGGGGCGAGCGCAAGCGGCUCCCGCUGAUGGAUGGGCCUGCGGCUGAUUAGCUAGUUGGUAGGGUAACGGCCUACCAAGGCGGCGAUCAGUAGCCGACCCGAGAGGGUGACCGGCCACACUGGGACUGAGACACGGCCCAGACUCCUACGGGAGGCAGCAGUGGGGAAUAUUGCGCAAUGGGCGAAAGCCUGACGCAGCGACGCCGCGUGGGUGAUGAAGGCCUUCGGGUCGUAAAACCCUGUCGGGUGGAACGAAUCUCCAUCCCGUGAAUAGCGGGAUAGAUUGACGGUACCACCGAAGGAAGCCCCGGCUAAC
rnacentral:rRNA from 1 species